ACACUUACCUGGCAGGGGUGAAGGUGUUUUUCCCAGUGGCUUAUCCAUUGCACUCCAGAUGUGCUGAUCCCUGCAAUUUCCUCAAAUGUGGGAAACUUGACCGCAUAAUUUGUGGUAGUAGGGGACUGCAUUCAGCUUUCCCCUG
ensembl:snRNA U1 U1 spliceosomal RNA